UGGAAAGAAGAGUAGUAGUGGUGGUAGCAUGCAUGCAUUGGAAGAUAACAAAAAAGGAGUGGUGAGAAUGAAGAUUGUGGUGAGGAAGAGUGAGCUAAAGCAACUAGUUGAAGUGAUGAAUAAUAAUAAUAAUGAUAGAACAAAAGCAUCUUCAAGAGUAACUGCAGAGCAACGAUUGAAUCAACUGCUACAGAAGAAGAACAAGAAGAAGCAUUUAUCUUUCAACAACAACAAGUCUUGGAGCCCUGGGCUACAAAGCAUUCCAGAAUAGCUUCUUUUUAUUCAUCAUCUUCUUCUUCUGUUUCUGUUAACAAGAGUUUUUUCCUGAAAAGGGGAUGGAUUUGUUUACCACUCUUGUGUUGCUCUUUGCAUCAAUUACUAGUCCAGGAUUAGUCUAACCAUUUUUGUGUCA
rnacentral:lncRNA from 1 species